rnacentral:rRNA from 1 species
UCCUACGGGGGGCAGCAGUGAGGAAUAUUGGUCAAUGGGCGCAAGCCUGAACCAGCCAUGCCGCGUGCAGGAAGAAUGCCCUAUGGGUUGUAAACUGCUUUUAUUUAGGAAUAAACUCUUGUACGUGUACAAGCCUGAAGGUACUAAAUGAAUAAGCACCGGCUAACUCCGUGCCAGCAGCCGCGGUAAUACGGAGGGUGCAAGCGUUAUCCGGAAUCAUUGGGUUUAAAGGGUCCGCAGGCGGAUUUAUAAGUCAGUGGUGAAAUCCUAUCGCUUAACGAUAGAACUGCCAUUGAUACUGUAGGUCUUGAAUUCGGUCGAAGUGGGCGGAAUGUGUAGUGUAGCGGUGAAAUGCAUAGAUAUUACACAGAACACCGAUAGCGAAGGCAGCUCACUAGGCCUGGAUUGACGCUCAGGGACGAAAGCGUGGGGAUCAAACAGGAUUAGAUACCCUGGUAGUCCACGCUGUAAACGAUGAUUACUCGUUUUCGGCGAUAUACAGUCGGAGACUAAGCGAAAGUGAUAAGUAAUCCACCUGGGGAGUACGAUCGCAAGGUUGAAACUCAAAGGAAUGACGG